AACGCGAAGAACCUUACCCAGGCUCGAAAUGUAGGCGGCGAUACCAGAAAUGGUAUUUUCCGUAAGGACGCCUAUAUAGGUGCUGCAUGGCUGUCGUCAGCUCGUGCCGUGAGGUGUUUGGUUAAGUCCAGCAACGAGCGCAACCCUUAUCAUUAGUUGCCAACACGCAAGGUGGGGACUCUAAUGAGACUGCCUAGGUUAACUAGGAGGAAGGUGAGGAUGACGUCAAGUCCGCAUGGCCUUUAUGUCUGGGGCUACACACGUGCUACAAUGGUCGGUACAGAAGGCAGCAAGACCGCAAGGUGGAGCAAAUCCGUAAAACCGAUCUCAGUUCAGAUUGUAGUCUGCAACUCGACUACAUGAAGCUGGAAUUGCUAGUAAUGACGUGUCAGCAACAACGUCGUGAAUACGUUCCCGGGCCUUGUA
rnacentral:rRNA from 1 species